GUAUAAAAAGCACUUAUACAACUCAACACCAGAAAACCAAAUAAUCCCAACAAGCAUCGAAGAAGGGAGCAAGUUAAGCUUUUGGUUGCAAGCAAUGGGAAGAGAAUGAAAGGGACAGCUGACUCAGGAGGGCAGGGAGCAAGUGGCUCCAGGAGCCUGAGGACAGGAACAUACUCUUAUUUGUGGACAUUAAUGAGACUCCAUGCCUGGGACCCCCAAGUUCUUGACUCCAAGUUUCAAGUACUCAGGUGACAGUCUCAUCAGCCCAGUGUGGGUCAAGUAUCCACCACUGGUCCAACCAGCUCUGAACGGUGGCAGGCUCCGUUAGUGCAGAUGUGAUUUGGGGAGCCUGCCUAUUUGUUCCAGGUCAUUCCCAGACAAGGGGGGAAGUCAUCAUGAAUCAGAUGGUCACCCCGCAUACACCCAUUGGAGGCAGCGCUGGCCUUUGAGGAGGAGCCCGCACAGAAGGAAGGUGCUAUUCCAGGUGCCAGAGACACUGUGCUGAGCAAAAGAGAUGCUCUCCAACAAAACUCGCUGCCAGUUUCCUCCCCUGGAACCUCUCCACUGCUGACUUUCUAUUGUGAUGUGCUCAAUUAAAUAUGUAUGUAUUUGGU